rnacentral:snoRNA from 1 species
CAUGCCUUAAAUAAAUGAACACGUUCUUAAUAGCAAAAGUUAUGAGAGAUGCUUUAUUCGAGGCUAAAUUGAAAAAAAAAAAAAACAUGCCACUGAUAAAACGAGUUACGCAUAUUUAUCGCAAGUUGCUGACUCACCUGACUUUGGUACAUUCGGAAGU